CCCUUCUUGCUAAAGCACUCUGCUGAAGUCGCGAGCUCUAAGCCCUUGGCUGGGGUCCUGUGAUGAUGCUAGCUGAAGUACACUCGAGGAGGAGAGUAACCGCACGGCACCCUCCACGGGACGGGGACGGACCCCUUUCCGAAUGUCCGGUGUGUGCUGUCCCAGGGUGGCUGUGUCACAGCU